GUUUAAGCUCGUAGUUGACCUUGGGCCUGGCUGGCCGGUCCGCCUCACCGCGUCGUACUGGUCCGGCCGGGCCUUUCCUUCUGGGGAACCNCAUGGCCUUCACUGGCCGUGUCGGGGAACCAGGACUUUUACUUUGAAAAAAUUAGAGUGUUCAAAGCAGGCCUUUGCUCGGAUACAUUAGCAUGGAAUAAUAGAAUAGGACGCGUGGUUCUAUUUUGUUGGUUUCUAGGACCGCCGUAAUGAUUAAUAGGGAUAGUCGGGGGCAUCAGUAUUCAAUUGUCAGAGGUGAAAUUCUUGGAUUUAUUGAAGACUAACUACUGCGAAAGCAUUUGCCAAGGAUGUUUUCNUUAAUCACUGAACGAAAGUUANGGGAUCGAAGACCAUCAGAUACCGUCUUAGUCUUAACCAUAAACUAUGCCGACUNNGGAUCGGUGGGUGUUACUAUUUUGA
rnacentral:rRNA from 1 species